GUCCACGCCCUAAACGAUGGAUACUAGAUAUCAGGGCGUAGGCUUUGGUGUCCAAGCAAAAGCGAUAAGUAUCCCACCUGGGGAGUACGCUCGCAAGGGUGAAACUCAAAGGAAUUGACGGGGCCCGCACAAGCGGUGGAGUAUGUGGUUUAAUUCGAUGGUACGCGAGGAACCUUACCUAGACUAGAAUGCGCGUGACCGGCUCAGAAAUGGGCUUUUCUCUUCGGAGCACAAAGCAAGGUGCUGCAUGGCUGUCGU
rnacentral:rRNA from 1 species